CAAACCCGUCGGUAUUUUUUUUUUUUUUUUUUUUUGAGUUUUCGUUUCACCUUCAGUCGUGUUCGUGCGCUAACAUGCCGGUGAUCGUUACAGACUUCACGUGGACGCAGACCGAGGACGCGGUGCGCGUGCACGUGCCUCUUAAGGGGGCACGAGCCUGUAAGGUCGACAUAAUCUCCACCGACCGAUACCUAAAGGUGCAUUUCCCUCCGUUCCUCUUCGAGGCGUUUCUGUAUCGACCCGUGGACGAAAACCGAAGCUCAGCCAAGAUCGGAAACGGAGUCGCUGUCUUUACUUUAAUGAAAACAUCCAGAGAAACCUGGGAGCAGCUGAUGAUGUCAUGCGAUAAAGAAACCAAGCAGCAGCUGAGGGAAGAAGUUCUGCUGAAACACCAACAGAAACUUUCAUCACAGUCCAGAUCUAAAGCUGAGAAACAGCAGGCAGAGAAGAAGUACUUACUGGAGACCAUGAUGAAGCUGGAACAGGAUGUAAGAGACAACAUCCAGAAGAUGAAGGAGGCGGAGCGUCAGAAGACCACGGCAGAGCUGGAGGCGUGGCAGGAGAUCUGCGAAAAAACAAACACCAACGAAGAAGAAGAAGACCUGAAGAAAAAAGGAAAAACAAACAGUGAAAACAUCAAGCAGCCAGUGAGAACCUGCAAGAAAAAAACGGAACAGAAGCGAACUCCUCCGAGAACCUCAGGAAACAUUCAGGUCACGUUCACGCCUCGAGUUUUCCCAACGGCCCUCAGAGAAUCCAGGGUCCAGGAGGAGGAGGAGUGGUUAAAGAACCAGGCCGAGGCUCGACGUUCUCGCAGCUCAGGUGCUGAAGAUCUGCAGGAACUGAGUGAGAACGAGAAGAACCCAGAGUGGCUGAAGGACAAGGGAGACUGCUACUUCAGGUCAGGUGACUACCAGAGUGCGGUCAACGCCUACAGUCUGGCCCUCAGGCUCAACCAGAACCUGCUCUCAGUUUGGUCCAACAGAGCAGCCAGUCACCUGAAGCUCAGGAACCUGCACCAGGCAGUCCAGGACUCGUCUCAGGCCCUGGACUUGUCAACACCUGCUGUUCCCUCCAAUGCAGCGUCCAGAGCCAGAGCUCAUGUUCACAGAGGAGCGGCUUUCUGUGAGCUGGAGCUCUACGUGGAAGGUCUUCAGGAUUAUGAAGCAGCUCUUAAGAUUUUUCCGGACUCACCUGGUCUGCAGUCGGACGCUCAGAAAAUAAGAGACGUCAUCGAGGGGAGGGAGACAACGUCUGCCUCCUGGUGAGGUCCUCCAGAGACACGUCUGCUGCUCUGAUCUGAUUGGUUCAGAUGAUCUGCACUUAGUUUAUUAGGCUGGACCAGGACCAGGACCAGGACCAGGACCAGGACCAGGGAAGGCUAACAUCUGCCAGAGAUUCCCGGAUCUUCCGUCAUGUUCCGCUGCAGCGGCCUCUCGACUCCUCUUUACCCGUCCUUCCUGCCUCCUCCGUCGGCCUUCUCUCCUCCGUCGUCCCGCUCUCUGAG